rnacentral:rRNA from 1 species
UGAUCCUGCCAGUAGUCAUAUGCUUGUCUCAAAGGUUAAGCCAUGCAUGUCUGAGUAUAAGCUUUUAAAUGGCGAGACUGCGAAUGGCUCAUUAAAACAGUUAUAGUUUAUUUGAUGUUCGUUUUCCUAUAUGGAUAACCGUAGUAAUUCUAGAGCUAAUACAUGCACAACGGCUUGACUCUUGUGGAAAAGCCGCGUUUAUUAGAUACAGAACCAACCUGGUCCCCGACCAGAAUCCUUGGUGAUUCAUGAUAACUCAGCGAAUCGUAUGGUUUUACCGGCGAUGUGUCAUUCAAGUUUCUGACCUAUCAGCUUUCGAUGGUAGGGUAUUGGCCUACCAUGGCGUUGACGGGUAACGGAGAAUUAGGGUUCGAUUCCGGAGAGGGAGCCUGAGAAACGGCUACCACAUCUAAGGAAGGCAGCAGGCGCGCAAAUUACCCAAUCCUGACAUAGGGAGGUAGUGACAAGAAAUAACAAUACGAGGCGAUUUUUGUCUUGUAAUUGGAAUGAGUAAGGUAUAAAAUCCUUUUACGAAUUCGAUUGGAGGGCAAGUCU